rnacentral:ncRNA from 1 species
ACAAAGACGAAGAUGGGGAAAAAGGCAAAAGAUUUCUAUUUUCAGAAAGUCGGCGGAUGAUGUGAGCCGAUAUUGUGCUUUUGCGAAUCAGUCGCCCCGGAGUUGUUUCGCUGAAUCAAGAUUAAGCGAGACCGAGUGAAAGACUUUCGCGUUAAGAAAGAGAGGGCUUUAAAAGCCGAAUGCGGGUGGUACCGCGGAUCUUUUCUUACAGAUUCGCCCCGGAU